UACAGAGGGUGCGAGCGUUAAUCGGAAUUACUGGGCGUAAAGCGUGCGUAGACGGUUAUUUAAGUCGGGUGUGAAAGCCCCGGGCUCAACCUGGGAAUUGCAUUCGAGACUGAAUAGCUAGGGUACGGUAGAGGGAAGCGGAAUUUCCGGUGUAGCGGUGAAAUGCGUAGAUAUCGGAAGGAACACCAGUGGCGAAGGCGGCUACCUGGAUUGACACUGACACUGAGGCGCGAGAGCGUGGGGAGCAAACAGG
rnacentral:rRNA from 1 species